rnacentral:rRNA from 1 species
GGUAUUAUUGGGCGUAAGCGCGCGCAGGUGGUUUCUUAAGUCUGAUGUGAAAGCCAGGCUCAACCGUGGAGGGUCAUUGGAAACUGGGAGACUUGUAGUGCAGAAGAGGAAAGUGGAAUUCCAUGUGUAGCGGUGAAAUGCGUAGAGAUAUGGAGGAACACCAGUGGCGAAGGCGACUUUCUGGUCUGUAACUGACACUGAGGCGCGAAAGCGUGGGGAGCAAACAGGUAUUAGAUACCCUGGUAGUCCACGCCGUAAACGAUGAGUGCUAAGUGUUAGAGGGUUUCCGCCCUUUAGUGCUGAAGUUAACGCAUUAAGCACUCCGCCUGGGGAGUACGGCCGCAAGGCUGAAACUCAAAGGAAUUGACGGGGGCCCGCACAAGCGGUGGAGCAUGUGGUUUAAUUCGAAGCAACGCGAAGAACCUUACCAGGUCUUGACAUCCUCUGAAAACCCUAGAGAUAGGGCUUCUCCUUCGGGAGCAGAGUGACAGGUGGUGCAUGGUUGUCGUCAGCUCGUGUCGUGAGAUGUUGGGUUAAGUCCCGCAACGAGCGCAACCCUUGAUCUUAGUUGCCAUCAUUAAGUUGGGCACUCUAAGGUGACUGCCGGUGACAAACCGGAGGAAGGUGGGGAUGACGUCAAAUCAUCAUGCCCCUUGUGACCUGGGCUACACACGUGCUACAAUGGACGGUACAAAGAGCUGCAAGACCGCGAGGUGGAGCUAAUCUCAUAAAACCGUUCUCAGUUCGGAUUGUAGGCUGCAACUCGCCUACA